rnacentral:miRNA from 2 species
AAAUGGUGCCCUAGUGACUACAA